GAGCUUGGUUCGUCACACCUUACCAGAGGCUGAGCUGCUGCUGCGACUUACUCCAAGGAGGCCUGAUCUGCCCUGCAACCCAGUGGUCUCUCAUCUGCCAGACUUCAGAACUUGCCUCCUCAUACAAAAGGGGUAUCAAUGGGGCAGAGCUUCUUUCCUGAUAAUCGGGGCCUACGUGUGGCUCAGGUCUGCCUGCUUGGGUUCUGUAUUUUGCUUUGCCUCAAGCCUGGAGUGGAUGCUCUGACAUGCAGACAAUGCUUUUCAUAUCAUUACGAAACGCCAUGCGAUGUGAGUACGGACACGUGUAUCGGAGACAUUUGUACAUUUUGGCAAGAAUUUUCAGAAAAUGAUGAAUUGAUUAAAUACUCCAGAUCAUGCAUCUACAAUUACUGGAAAGACAGUUGUGGACAGGAAAUUUUCCUUGGAAAUAACCGAUAUAAAACAACAUGCUGUUAUACUGACCUCUGUAAUGAUGAAUAAAAUCGGACUCCUCUUGAAAUAAAAAUUGUCCAGUCUAAAAA